GACGGAAGGUGCAAGCGUUGCUCGGAAUCACUGGGCGUAAAGGGUGCGUAGGCGGCUUGGUAAGUUGGGUGUGAAAGCCCCGGGCUCAGCCCGGGAAGGGCACUCGAAACUGCCGAGCUGGAGUGCCGGAGGGGAGAGUGGAAUUCCUGGUGUAGCGGUGAAAUGCGUAGAUAUCAGGAGGAACACCGGUGGCGAAGGCGACAUCCUGGACCGGUAUUGACGCUGAGGCGCGAAAGCCAGGGGAGCAAACGGG
rnacentral:rRNA from 1 species